UACGUAGGAGGCGAGCGUUGUCCGGAGUUACUAGGCGUAAAGGGUGCGCAGGCGGCCCGACAGGUGUGUGGUGAAAUCUCCCCGGCUUACCUGGGAGGGGGGCCACGCAAACCGUUGGGCUUGAGGCUCGGGGAGGGGCGUGGAAUUCCGGGUGGAGCGGUGAAAUGCGUAGAGAUCGGAAAGAACACCAACGGCGAAAGCACUCUGCUGGGCCGACACUGACACUGAGAGACGAAAGCUAGGGGAGCGAAUGGG
rnacentral:rRNA from 1 species